AAUGAGUUGGUUAUUUCAAAAAUGUCCUAUUAUUCUUCAGUAAAACUUCUUGUUAAUUUAAGACUCUAAUAACUUGCUUGACAUACCCAUAGGCAAAUAUCUGUUAUCGGUGUAAUUACACCUUUGGAGAAAAGCGUGAUUCGCACGUUUUAAUUUCAUCAUUCGCCGCCUGAAGAGACAAGAUGGCGGAGCUUGCGAAAUCGAAAAUUGGUACUUGAAAGUCAAUGGUUGAUCAUGAUGACCAUCUUUAAUUUAAUGGGGAAAGAUUAACCAAUAUUUGCAGCUGGACAGGCUAUCACCACAGUUCAAUGAUUUAGUUAAGACAAUGAAAUAGAAGAACUUCAUGCUAACACUUGCAUCAGUGGAAGUACUUCUUAUUGGACAGAAAACUUUUCAAGGUCAGUGAUAUUUGUAAUGUUUUAUAUCAAUAUUUUGUUUUGCCUUUUUUAAACUCAUCUUAAUGGAGCUGUGAACUGCAUAGGUGGAUUAUCCAUCAUACACAAUAUUUAGCUCGACUACUCAA